UUCGGGAUAACCUCGGGAAAUCGUGGCUAAUACCGGAUAUGAGCACUCAUCGCAUGGUGGGUGUUGGAAAGAUUUAUCGGUGGGGGAUGGACUCGCGGCCUAUCAGUUUGUUGGUGAGGUGAUGGCUCACCAAGACGAUGACGGGUAGCCGGCCUGAGAGGGCGACCGGCCACACUGGGACUGAGACACGGCCCAGACUCCUACGGGAGGCAGCAGUGGGGAAUAUUGCACAAUGGGCGAAAGCCUGAUGCAGCGACGCCGCGUGGGGGAUGACGGCCUUCGGGUUGUAAACCCCUUUCAGUAGGGAAGAAGCGAGAGUGACGGUACCUGCAGAAGAAGCGCCGGCUAACUACGUGCCAGCAGCCGCGGUAAUACGUAGGGCGCAAGCGUUGUCCGGAAUUAUUGGGCGUAAAGAGCUUGUAGGUGGCUUGUCGCGUCUGCCGUGAAAACCCGAGGCUCAACCUCGGGCGUGCGGNUGGGUACGGGCAGGCUAGAGUGUGGUAGGGGAGACUGGAACUCCUGGUGUAGCGGUGAAAUGCGCAGAUAUCAGGAAGAACACCGAUGGCGAAGGCAGGUCUCUGGGCCAUUACUGACACUGAGAAGCGAAAGCAUGGGUAGCGAACAGGAUUAGAUACCCUGGUAGUCCAUGCCGUAAACGUUGGGCACUAGGUGUGGGGGACAUUCCACGUUUUCCGCGCCGUAGCUAACGCAUUAAGUGCCCCGCCUGGGGAGUACGGCCGCAAGGCUAAAACUCAAAGGAAUUGACGGGGGCCCGCACAAGCGGCGGAGCAUGCUGAUUAAUUCGAUGCAACGCGAAGAACCUUACCAAGGCUUGACAUGCACUGGACGGCUGCAGAGAUGUGGCUUUCUUUGGACUGGUGCACAGGUGGUGCAUGGUUGUCGUCAGCUCGUGUCGUGAGAUGUUGGGUUAAGUCCCGCAACGAGCGCAACCCUCGUUCUAUGUUGCCAGCACGUGAUGGUGGGGACUCAUAGGAGACUGCCGGGGUCAACUCGGAGGAAGGUGGGGACGACGUCAAAUCAUCAUGCCCCUUAUGUCUUGGGCUUCAAGCAUGCUACAAUGGUCGGUACAAUGGGUUGCGAAACUGUGAGGUGGAGCGAAUCCCAAAAAGCCGGCCUCAGUUCGGAUUGGGGUCUGCAACUCGACCCCA
rnacentral:rRNA from 1 species